rnacentral:snRNA from 1 species
GUUCUUGUCCAGGGAUUUUACGUUGUUCUUGAUCGUCACUGUGAAACACGUAAUUGCUGAUUGCGAUCUGCCCUUUUCUACCCGUUUUCUUGCUUCGAAAGAGUUUGAGAAAACAAUUUUUGAACUCUGAAAGCACUUCAG